UACAGAGGGGGCCAGCGUUAUUCGGAAUUAUUGGGCGUAAAGGGCGCGUAUGCGGCCAUGCGUGUCUUCCGUGAAAUCCCUCGGCUUAACUGAGGACGUGCGGAAGAAACUGCAAGGCUUGAGUCCGGGAGAGGGGGGUGGAAUUCCUAGUGUAGCGGUGAAAUGCGUAGAUAUUGGGAGGAACACCGGUGGCGAAGGCGGCCCCCUGGACCGGUACUGACGCUGAGAAGCGAAAGCAUGGGGAGCGAACAGG
rnacentral:rRNA from 1 species